GGUGUUGUGACUCAGCGGUAGAGUGCUCCUCUCGCACGUGUGAGUCCCUGGGUUCGAUUCUCAGCACCACAU
rfam:Ictidomys tridecemlineatus contig031256, whole genome shotgun sequence.